AUGAGGUUUGCAGAGGAAAUGCACUUUGCUUUCAUUCAACACUUUGGAUGGAGUUGUUUAAUCGCACCAAAGGGUGAGGAGAAAGGAGAGCAAUCCCUUGCUGUCUACACACAAAAGAAGCCCUCCAGCCACCAUGCUGAGGUGCAGCCUGCCCAGGGAACGGCCGCCCAACGGGCAGCGGGGACUCCUCGUGGAAGCAAAUCCCAAAGGCAAUGGGAUAUGUGGGGAAAUAUUUGGCAGGGUACCUGCACUGUGGUUCUCCUCCAUAGAAUGGUUUGUCACCUUCUGCAGCCUUGGACUGCCUUUUCUUCAUCUCCUUGGAUUUGGGAAACUUGCCUAGCAACACUUUGUUCUGACUUCAUGGGUAACCAGUGUGGCACAAGACUUUUCUGGGAGCCCUCAAACUGA
rnacentral:lncRNA from 1 species